UACGGAGGAUGCGAGCGUUAUCCGGAUUUAUUGGGUUUAAAGGGUGCGUAGGCGGAUCGUUAAGUCAGUGGUCAAGUUGAGGGGCUCAACCCCUUCCCGCCAUUGAAACUGGCGAUCUUGAGUGGAAGAGAAGUAUGCGGAAUGCGUGGUGUAGCGGUGAAAUGCAUAGAUAUCACGCAGAACCCCGAUUGCGAAGGCAGCAUGCCGGCUUCCUACUGACGCUGAAGCACGAAAGCGUGGGGAUCGAACAGG
rnacentral:rRNA from 1 species